AAGAGGUGGUAGGGUGAUUUUAGACUAUUCUUAGACUCAUCUUAUCCUUCCUCGGCCCUAGCAUUGGAACACUGUGGCUUUGAGACCACAUAAUACAAAUGCUCCAAUUUCCUUUUAAAAUCGGGAAUUUCACAAGAUGUUUGGGCUUUUCAAUUGCUUCGAAUGCAGUUCAGCAGGAGUUAAUUCCAGACACGAUCGUAUUUGUGGUUGAAUAAUUGAAUCGGGUUUAAUAUAUGUUUACCUUUAGCUGUAAGGUUCAUUUCCACGUAAACAAAAAAAUUUGCACCGUAUUCUUGAUGGCCUCUCGGGUG
rnacentral:lncRNA from 1 species